rnacentral:rRNA from 1 species
AGUGGCGGACGGGUGAGUAACACAUAGGAAUCUGCCCGAGAGUGGGGGAUAACCCAGGGAAACUUGGAUUAAUACCGCAUGAUCUCUACGGAGCAAAGCUGGGGACCUUCGGGCCUGGCGCUUUUGGAGGAGCCUAUGUCUGAUUAGCUUGUUGGUGAGGUAACGGCUCACCAAGGCGACGAUCAGUAACUGGUCUGAGAGGACGACCAGUCACACCGGAACUGAGACACGGUCCGGACUCCUACGGGAGGCAGCAGUGGGGAAUAUUGGACAAUGGGCGAAAGCCUGAUCCAGCAAUGCCGCGUGUGUGAAGAAGGCCUUCGGGUUGUAAAGCACUUUAGGAUGGAAAGAAAAAACUUCAGUUAAUAGCUGAAGUCUUGACGGUACCAUCAGAAUAAGCACCGGCUAACUCUGUGCCAGCAGCCGCGGUAAUACAGAGGGUGCAAGCGUUAAUCGGAUUUACUGGGCGUAAAGCGUGUGUAGGUGGUGGCGUAAGUCGAUUGUGAAAUCCCCGGGCUCAACCUGGGAACUGCUUUCGAUACUGCGUCACUAGAGUACGGUAGAGGGUGGUGGAAUUUCCGGUGUAGCGGUGAAAUGCGUAGAUAUCGGAAGGAACAUCAAUGGCGACGCACCACCUGGGCCUGUACUGACACUGAGACACGAAGCGUGGGGAACAAACAGGAUUAGAUUCCCUGGUAGUCCACGCCC